CGGGGUCGUGGAUGAGGGUGACGUCGACGGCUGUGCCGUUGUCGAGGCGGUGUCGGGUGGUGAUCUGCAUCGGUUCGGCCUCGAUGACAUGGAC
rnacentral:tRNA from 1 species